rnacentral:lncRNA from 1 species
CUGCAAGCUCCGCCUUCUGGGUUCAGGCCAUUCUCCUGCCUCAGCCUCCCGAGUAGCUGGGAGUAGAGGCGCCCGCCACCACACCUGGCUAACUUUUUGUAUUUUUAGUGGAGAGGGAGUUUCACCGUUUUAGACAGGAUGGUCUCGAUCUCCUGACCUCCUGAUCCACCCGCCUCUGCCUGCCAAAGUGCUGGGAUUACAGACGUGAGCCACCGCGCCCGGCUGUUUUCUUUUUUUUAACAGUAGGAAAACACAAGCGUGAAGCCUCCAUUUGGGAAGCCUGCAGAAGCCCCAAUCCAAUCACAGCACUGCCAGAGGAUCUUAGAAGUUGAAUAUCAAUUUAAUAACACAUCCUGUUUGAGAUUGGGUUCUAACUAUAUUGCCCAAGCUAGAUUCAAACUCUUGGGCUCAAGUGAUCCUCCUGCCUAAGACUCCUUAGUAGCUUGGAACUUCAGAACCAUCUGUCAAUGGCUACUUCAUACUUUAGAUGCUCCAAGAGGAAAAAGUCAUUUCAGAAUUGUAUCCAUAACCCAGUUUCAUUGAAGAUGGAGUCUUCCUUCAGAUUUUCUACAUAGACAAUUAUACCUCUGUGAACAAAGACAGUUUAUUUCUUCCUUCCCAGAGAUUGAGAGAGCAAGAAUCGUAGAUAUGAUAGCAACUACAAGAAACUUUGGCUCCAUUCUACACGACGGUUCUACCUCUGACUUAAAACUAGGAGACCAGUUUUGCUGUUUCCCAGGCAGUUCUUGAACUCCUGCCUCAAGCUAUCCUCCUGCCUCAGCUUCCUGAGUAGCUGGGAUUACAG